rnacentral:rRNA from 1 species
UCCCUACGGGUGGCUGCAGUGGGGAAUAUUGGACAAUGGGCGCAAGCCUGAUCCAGCCAUGCCGCGUGAGUGAUGAAGGCCCUAGGGUUGUAAAGCUCUUUCACCGAUGAAGAUAAUGACGGUAGUCGGAGAAGAAGCCCCGGCUAACUUCGUGCCAGCAGCCGCGGUAAUACGAAGGGGGCUAGCGUUGUUCGGAAUUACUGGGCGUAAAGCGCACGUAGGCGGAUAUUUAAGUCAGGGGUGAAAUCCCAGGGCUCAACUCUGGAACUGCCUUUGAUACUGGGUAUCUCGAGUAUGGAAGAGGUGAGUGGAAUUCCGAGUGUAGAGGUGAAAUUCGUAGAUAUUCGGAGGAACACCAGUGGCGAAGGCGGCUCACUGGUCCAUUACUGACGCUGAGGUGCGAAAGCGUGGGGAGCAAACAGGAUUAGAUACCCCUGUAGUCC